UUAAGUUCAGCGGGUAUCCCUACCUGAUCCGAGGUCAACCUGUGAUGAGAGGUUUAGCGGCCGGGUCGCCCCAUCUCGCCAGCGAAUUGAUUGCCACAACGCUGAGAUUUGGACCAACCAGCCGGAAACAUUGAGGCGCGGGGGGAUCCCCGUCGCCCAAUACCAAGCGAGGCUUGAGUGGUGUAAUGACGCUCGAACAG
rnacentral:misc_RNA from 1 species